rnacentral:lncRNA from 1 species
ACUUUGGGACUGCUUACAGCUUACAACAAUAAAUGCUCACUGUAAAUCUCCCCACAGGUGUACAUGAAGCCUCAAACUUGUUCUGAGUGCAUGCUGUCCUGUCACACUGGUGGGUGAAGAAGAUAAGGAGCCUUGACUGUUGUAUUAAUCCCUAAGCUACGUCACUGACACUGGCUACAGAGCAAUGUCAAAUCUGCCAAAGCAUACAAUUGUCUUUAAGUACUGGCAGCAUCAGACAGAGUUCACUGAUUAUCCAGCCAUCUUAAUGCCCAUGGCUUCUGAAGAUUUCUGAUGCUGAAAGCACACAAACUAUAGCACAAUGUUUUCAGAAACCAAAACACCCAACAUCUUAAGGUAUUUGUAGAUAUCUGACCUUAAAGCUUCUUGUCUGUCUCUGAGGAUGUUCUCUGGUGAGGCAUUCAGAUUUGUUUCUAGUUCUAGAAAAUGCCACUAAUCACAUUUUAUUAUACUGUCUGAAGGCCUGAGCCACAAAUACAGAAUUAGCAGGUUUUACGUAUGCUUGAUCCACACGGUGCAGCCAGUUUGGUGGUACACCUGGAACUGGGCAUGGAUGUGAAUCCAUCCAUCUAGCUGCAACACAAAAAUUUUUUUACUGGUUCCAUCUCAAACUAUGUAGUGCUGACGCAGCAGGAUAUUGCAUGCAUUUGGCCUCCUGGCUCCUCUUUAGCUACUAGCUAUUGAUGCCUUGAACAAGUUAACCCCCCCUUCUCUUAAGCUCUAGGUUGUGUUUGAUUUUGUAAUCAAAGCAGCUUUUCAGGGAGAUGGCUCUUCAGGCUGCUAAUGACAGUUUUAUUUGCUUUUGCAGGGCAAGCUGGAGCUGGCCAGUAGUCCAAGUCCUCAAAGUGCAAGGACACCAGCAAGGAGUGGGCCAGAAGGAAGCACAAGGGAGUUUGCCACUUGCACCAUGGAAAUGUUCUUGAGACCCCUCAGAGCUGCCUCCUUCCUCCAGCAAGGUCACGAUGGCAUGUUGGUGGAGCUGGAGGAUAAUCCUGCUGUCUUCUGGGGCUGCACCUCCAUGGACUUGCUGUGUGCCAGGUUAACCCAGCGUCACUGGGUUAUGUCUUGGAUGCAGUGAAAGAAGCUGGGUCCUUAUCUGGUUAGCAGCUAAUGAAUGUCCUUCUGUAUCCUGCCUUUUCCUGAUCUGCACCAUUUCUUCUGAGCUCUCCCUUUUCUGCCAAGCCU